UACGGGGGGGGCAAGCGUUAUUCGGAAUGACUGGGCGUAAAGGGUGCGUAGGCGGUCUAGUAAGUUGAAGAUAAAAGCCCAGGGCUUAACUCUGGAAAAAUAUUCGAAACUGCUAUGACUUGAGUACGAUAGAGGAUAGUAGAAUUUUUAGUGUAAUGGUGAAAUAUGUAAAUACUAGAAGGAAUACCAAAGGCGAAGGCAACUAUCUGGAGCGAUACUGACGUUGAGGCACGAAAGUUUGGGGA
rnacentral:rRNA from 1 species